AGAGGGCUAGUCCAAAAAAGACCUCUGACUUCGGCUCAGAAGAUUAUGGUUUAACCCCAUAGCCCCCUU
rnacentral:tRNA from 1 species